GCCGGAUGGUCUAACCGGUUAAAGCGUCGCCCCGCACAGGCGAAGGUUGCGGGUUCCAUCCCCGCUCCUGGCC
rnacentral:tRNA from 1 species